GACGUAGGGCGCGAGCGUUGUCCGGAUUUAUUGGGCGUAAAGAGCUCGUAGGCGGCUCAUUGCGUCAACCGUGAAAACCUGCCGCUCAACGGUAGGCUUGCGGUUGAUACGGGUGGGCUGGAGUUCGGUAGGGGAGACUGGAAUUCCUGGUGUAGCGGUGAAAUGCGUAGAUAUCGGGAGGAACACCAGAGGCGAAGGCGGGUUACUGGGCUGAUACUGACGCUGAUGCGCGAAAGCCAGGGGAGCAAACGGG
rnacentral:rRNA from 1 species